rnacentral:rRNA from 1 species
GGACUACAGGGGUUUCUAAUCCUGUUCGCUACCCACGCUUUCGUCCAUCAGCGUCAAUCCAUUGGUAGUAACCUGCCUUCGCAAUCGGUAUUCCAUGUAAUCUCUAAGCAUUUCACCGCUACACUACAUAUUCUAGUUACUUCCCAAUAAUUCAAGACCUGCAGUAUCAAUGGCAGUUUCCCCGUUAAGCGGGGAGAUUUCACCACUGACUUACAGGCCCGCCUACGGACCCUUUAAACCCAAUGAUUCCGGAUAACGCUUGGAUCCUCCGUAUUACCGCGGCUGCUGGCAC